GAUGAACGCUGGCGGCGUGCCUAAUACAUGCAAGUCGAGCGAACAGACGAGGAGCUUGCUCCUCUGACGUUAGCGGCGGACGGGUGAGUAACACGUGGAUAACCUACCUAUAAGACUGGGAUAACUUCGGGAAACCGGAGCUAAUACCGGAUAAUAUAUUGAACCGCAUGGUUCAAUAGUGAAAGACGGUUUUGCUGUCACUUAUAGAUGGAUCCGCGCCGCAUUAGCUAGUUGGUAAGGUAACGGCUUACCAAGGCAACGAUGCGUAGCCGACCUGAGAGGGUGAUAGGCCACACUGGAACUGGGACACGGUCCAAACUCCUACGGGAGGCAGAAGUAGGGAAUCUUCCGCAAUGGGCGAAAGCCGGACGGAGCAACGCCGCGUGAGUGAUGAAGGUCUUCGGAUCGUAAAACUCUGUUAUUAGGGAAGAACAAAGGUGUAAGUAACUAUGCACGUCUUGACGGUACCUAAGCAGAAAGCCACGGCUAACUACGUG
rnacentral:rRNA from 1 species